rnacentral:rRNA from 1 species
GCAACGACCACCCAGGGCCGGAAAGUUGGUCAAACCCGGUCAUUUAGAGGAAGUAAAAGUCGUAACAAGGUCUCCGUAGGUGAACCUGCGGAGGGAUCAUU